UGCAUGUCUUCUCCCUGACCUGUGUCCUAGGAUCUUUGUCUUCGAUAUUCAGUUUAGUGAACAUGCACUGAGCACCCAUGGUCUCCAAAACACCCCUGUGCCCCCAGGAGAUUAGAACGGGACAGCGUACUGCUCGUCCUGAAGAAGUUCACGGACAGCCAGAAUCUGCCCGCUGAGAAGGGCUGCAGAAGGGACCCCAGAGAGCUCUAAGGGCGCUGAAGGAGACAUGACGUUCAGUCUUGGGUCGCGCUUACAAUCUGCCACCUCUGCAAAACUCUUGGCUGUGCGUCACCCUUCUCUACCUUUCCCUGUGGUCUGUGGAGCAGAAUAAUAAGCAUGAGGUUGCUGGCCGGCCCGCCCCACCUCUGUGUACUCCAUCCUGUCUGGGGUCCUGUCCCCUGGGGUCCACGCUUCAUGAGAAGCCCCUGGGCUUCGUGAGAAGUGGGGUAAGAAUCACAGGGGCUGCUCACUGGGGAAGUUUUGGGCGGGGCUACAGACCCCUGCUCCCCCCGGCAGUGGGCCCCAAACUUUGCUCUACAUAGAAACCCCACCACCCCCAGGAGCUCUUAGAAACCCCAUGGCCCAGGUCAUGGACCUGCUGAUUGAAUCCGAAUUCAGGAGUCAGGCGUCCUUGUGCAUAAAGAUCGCCAGCUGAUUCCACAUGUG
rnacentral:lncRNA from 1 species